rnacentral:misc_RNA from 1 species
GAAAUGCGAUAAGUAAUGUGAAUUGCAGAAUUCCGUGAAUCAUUAAAUCUUUGAACGCACAUUGCGCUCUUUGGUAUUCCGAAGAGCAUAUCUGUUUGAGAAUCAGUAUAAACAUCAAAAAAAUAUUUUUUUUUUUAAUUAAAAAUUUGUAUUUUUUUUGAAUUUGAAUUUUUUUCUAAAAUUUAUUUUAGGAAUAAUUUGUAAUAAAUUUGUUGACUUUUUAUUAACAAACAACAAAGCAUGACCAAUAGGGUUUUUUUUAAAAAUUCUUUGAUUGCAUUAUUGUUUUUAAUUAUUUUAUGAAAGUAACUUAAAAAAUUUUUAACACAAAAAAAAAUCUUUUUUUUUAAGACUUGAUCUCAAAUCAGAUAAGACUACCCGCUGAACUUAA